UGCGUAGGUGGCGUCGUAAGUCGGGUGUGAAAUUUCGGAGCUUAACUCCGAAACUGCAUUCGAUACUGCGGUGCUUGAGGACUGGAGAGGAGACUGGAAUUUACGGUGUAGCAGUGAAAUGCGUAGAGAUCGUAAGGAAGACCAGUGGCGAAGGCGGGUCUCUGGACAGUUCCUGACACUGAGGCACGAAGGCCAGGGAGGCAAACG
rnacentral:rRNA from 1 species